ACAUUUUGUGAGCCGUCCUGUCUGACCGUCCUCUCAGGAGAAUGAGUUUGACACGCACAUGCGCAGAUUGAUUUUAAAGCGGGCCUUGAAUCAUGUCAAGACACGGUCGAAACGGAGGAGACGCUAAGGUUUACGUCGGUAACCUGAGCACUGGUGCAGGAAAAGGAGAGCUAGAGCGGGCGUUUGGGUAUUACGGACCCUUGAGAACAGUGUGGAUUGCUAGGAACCCCCCAGGGUUUGCCUUUGUGGAGUUUGAAGACACCCGGGAUGCAGAAGAUGCGGUCCGUGGCCUUGACGGCAAGUUAAUUUCUGGAUCUCGAGUUCGAGUUGAAUUAUCUACAGGGAUGCCGCGGCGAUCUCGGUACGAGCGUGCACCCACCAACCGGCCCUUUGACUCCAACGACAAGUGCUAUGAGUGUGGUGAGCGGGGGCACUAUGCCUACGACUGCCACCGCUACAGUCGACGCAGGAGGAGCAGGUCCCGGUCUCUCUCCAGGUACGGUGGGAGGAGGUACUCUCGCUCUCGCAGCCGGGACCGUGGCAGGAGAUCAAGAUCCUUCUCUCCACGCCGCUCUCGUUCUCCUAGAAGAUCGAGAGCCCUUACCCCCAAGAGAUCAAGAUCUCGGUCAAAGUCCAGAUCAAGGUCUAGGUCACUUUCCCGUGCAAAGACCAGGUGUCAAACUCAUUCUAUGGAGGGCAUGGUGUCUGUGGGUUUUCCCUUUUAAAUGAAGAGAGAGACAACCAGGUGAGGAGAGUUCCUUACUACAUUGAACAAAAUUAUAAACAUAAUUGUUUGUCCCAUGUUUCAUGAGCUGAAAUAAAAGAUCCCAGAAAUGUUCCACAAAAAGCUUAUUUCUCUCAAAUGUAUGUGCACAAAUUUGUUUACAUUCAUGUUAGUGAGCAUUAAUAGUUUGCCAAGAUAAUCCAUCCACCUGACAGAUGUGGCAUAUCAAGAACCUGAUUAAACGGAUCGGAUCAUUUUUUGGAUCAGCAAAAAAAAGAGAGACAUAUAACUUUGCUUUUCAUUUUACUUAACGAACACUUAAAGCAAGGAACUUUUCAAUGUUUACAUAAAAUCUUUAAAUAAAAUAUUCAAUACUUAAUUGUUAAAUUAAAGUGCAAUAUCAGGCAUGAUACCUUCUUCCUUUUGUUAGGUUCUUAUUUUUGAUAAUAAAUGACUCACGGACACUAAAGGACCUUAAUAACCAAGUUUAAUUAUUCCCAAAGGUUCUGUACAGCUGUAUUCAGACAGCAAGACAUUUCUCACCAUCACAGUUAUAUACAUCCCACUUAAGACGUUCCUCCUUCUCUCCAAUCCUCUCCAAAAGGGUAACAGGAUACCAAACCCGUAUUGCCCCCUUAAGGGGAUCUGACCUCACCUCCUGAACUCAACCCCUCCUUCACCUAAUGCACAGAUGUCCAUCUCUCUUUCCUGUAUCAACACGGUGCUCUCCUCCCGUCCCCCAACACGUUCCAAAGCCACUCUGUCUUUCUACAGAUCUCACUCCUUAAUAUACUAUACGUCUAAUCUAUCAUGUCUUUAACAUCUCAAAUGUUCAAAAUGUAGAAUCCAACACUGAACAAUAGUGAAAAAAUUGCCUGUGUCCACAUCAUCAAAAAAAGUUAAGAAAGCAAAGCAGACCUGAGCUUAUAACUUCAAAUUAUUUUUCAAAAGAUGUCUACAUUGUCUGGGGAGAGGGUAGACCUCUUUGCAGUCACUGUCCCCUGCCGUGGAGAACACCCUCUCGCUAGGAACUGUAGUGCCAGGCACAGCCAGGUAGAGCCUUGCCAUCAUGUAUGUAUGCACACAUGACUGUAAGUCGCUUUGGAUAAAAGCGUCUGCUAAAUGGCAUAUAUUAUUAUUAUAUAUUAUCAUGGCAAUGUGAGGGCUGACUUUUCCACCAUGCCAGUGGAUCACCAUCCACUGGAAUGCCACUUGCCUAUUGUAGGAUGCCGCCUCCUCUUUGAUGGUGUUGGCAAACAUCUUGCCUGUGUCCUUGCUCGCAAAGGUCUCCCUGAAACGCUCCUUCAUGGCCAAAUUAUUUUGUGGAGGAGUUGCCUCUGAGUCUGUUCCUGUCGGCUCUAUGGCUUGACCCUGCAGAGAAAAUUACUUGAUCUAUAUUAAACUAAUUAUUUAUUUUCGUAUUUCAUAGAACUAUAAUUGUGGCAAUAACAUUUAAUAAAAGCCAUUAUUAUUCCAAAUAAAAAAUGGAUGAUUCUAAUAGCAAUAGCAUAGACUAAGAUUAGACUGCAGUAUAUUUAUUGUUUAAGUAAUUCACCCGUAUUUUUAUUUUGACCUCUUCAGUGACCACAAUCUCAGUGGUGAGAUCACUGUAUGUUCUCCGGUGUAAGACAGGGACUUGAACCUUGGAUCCAGUGCAGUAGAUCUAUGAAGGUAGUCCUGUACAUUAGGGGGUCUCUGGGGUUAGGGACACAAUUGCAUUUUAUUGUUGGCAAUUUGAAUACACAGAGAUACCGUGACGAGAUCCUGAGGCCCAUUGUCGUGCCAUUCAUCCUCCAACCAUUACCUCAUAUUUCAGUAUGAUAAUGCAUGGCCCCGUGUUUGGGAUGCUCUGGAUCGACAUGUAUAACAGCGCGUUCCAGUUCCCGCCAAUAUCCAGCAACUUUGCACAGCCAUUGAAGAGGUGACAAUAUUCCACAGGCCACCUUUUAAUUUUUUUAAAGAUAUCUGUGACCAAGUGAUGCAUAUCUAUAUUCCCAUAUGAAAUCCAUAGAUUUUUGGCAGAAUGAGUUUAUUUAAAUUGACUGAUUUUCUUAUAUGAACUGUAACUCAGUAAAGUCUUUGAAAUUGAUGCAUAUUGAUUUAUAAUUUUGUUCAGUGUAAUUAGUGACUUAUUUCAUCAAUCAAAUACAAGGGAAGAGCGAAACCCCGCAGAUACUCGGCUCUCCGUGCAUUGAGUUGAAGUGAGGGCUGAAGCCUUGUUCACACUGCAGACCUUAAUGCCCAAAUCAGUUUUGUUUCUCAAAUGCAUUUUGUAGUAGUGACUGUCGUACUUGUGACCACAUCGUACUUGCCCUUUGUGCUGUUGUCUGUACGCAAUAAUGUUUGUACUAUGUUUUGUGCUGCUACCAUGUUGUUGCUACCUUGUUGUUGUCAUGUUGUGUUGCUGCCAUGCUAUGUUGUUGUCUUAGGUCUCUCUUUAUGUAGUGUUGUGGUGUCUCUCUUGUCGUGAUGUGUGUUUUGUCCUAUAUUUUAUUUUGUAAUCCCAGUCCCCGUCCUCACAGGAAACCUUUUGCAUUUUGGUAGGCCGUCAUUGUAUAUAAGAAUUUGUUCUUAACUGACUUGCCUGGUUAAAUAAAAGUACAUUUGUGUGUACAGACAGCAGUCAUUUGCUUUGAUGGUUACACUGGUUGUCAUAGUAACAACGGGUGUGUGCACGGUGGUGUAGGCUGAUUGCUGGUGGUGCUCGUGCUUCCUAUCACUUUGUAGAAAACUAAGGUGACAACUUUGCCUGCAAUGGACGUUUCCCAGUUACUUUGAAUGUUCAAAAUCAUAGUCUAAGAUCACUUAAAAGCCUCAAAUGAUAAGAUGAUCCAACUUUCAAAGCUGACUAGCCACAGCAGUCAACUAGCUAGCUAGCUAGGUAGAGGUUUAGCUUUCUAGCACAUUCACUGAUUUGUUUCUAAACGAUUAACAAGCCAGUUAGCUACAAUCUCAUGUCCUUGUCAAACUGUCAACCGAGUAGCUUGAGUGCAAAUAAAUCAGAUUUGACCAUUCAGACAAGUCACAUGGCCAGCAAUCAGAUUGAAGGUGAUUUGACAUAUCCGAUUCCAUGUAGCUUUUGAAUGUUCAUACUGCAGGAAAAGUUCAUACUGCAGGAAAAUUAACAGAAGUGAUCUUAAUUAAGGUGGAGAUAAAUAAAUAAAUGACUUGCACAAAAAAGGGACACUUUAAAUCUAAAGAAUCUGAUUGCCUUGUAUGUUUACUUCUUCAGGUCUGGUUCCCCCACGAGGAGCCACUCUACCUCGAGGAGUCCUCGUCGAGGUGACAGCUCGGAGAGAGACGACUGAACUUUGAAGUUUUUGUUUCUUUAUGUAAGCAUUUCCUGUGACUAAGUUAUUUGUUAACCCAUUGUAUUUGAAAAUAUGUAGCUUGUUAAUUUCCUCUUGAGACAUAUUACUGACAUUUCAAAAAGAAGCAAUUGGGACCCAGUUUGGAAUGCGUUUGUGUUUGUUUUAGAAAUAGUUGUUGGUUAAUAAAGUAUAUUUGAUUUAAAACUG